CAUCACACACACACACAGGGGAACGCAGGUGGGGUUAAAAGGAGGGAGCUCGAUAAGGUAUCGCACCUUAUGCCUACAUAUCUUGUCUGGAACAAGAAUCAGAGCCUCUGUAGUUCGGCUUACGCACGCCAAACAACAAACAAAACAACAAACAGAUGGAAAACAUGGAGCCCGACAACCACUGGAUGGAAUUACGUCGGCAUCCGAACCAAAACACACUCAAAAGGGCAAACGUGGAGCCCGACAGCCAAUCACUGGGCUUACGUCGGCAUCCGAACCCAAAACAAUCAAACAGAUAACAAACAACGCACGCAAAAGAAAAAAAAGGUUGC
rnacentral:lncRNA from 1 species